AAGCAAUUUGCUCAUAGCCAUAGCUUUCUUGUGAAAGUAGGAUAUUAACCCAGGUGUCUUGGUGCUGGAGAACAGAACUGGCCAGAGUCCAUCCUGUCUCCCACCGGCAUCCCAUUACGAAAUGAACACAGAAAAGGCAGGUCUGCAAUGCCAACAUCUAGUAUCUAUCCCAAAGACCAGGGAGAAAGGAAGGAAAGAUUCUGGUUCUGUCCUCUUCCCCAAGGCAAGGCUGGCUGCCCUACCAACAGAGGCAAAGAGAAGAGUGUGCAAGGCUGGCUGCCCUCCCAACAGAGGCAAAGAGGAGUGUGUGUUGAAAUAUCCAUUGAAUCCCUGAGACAACUGGAUCCUGGCCCAUUGAAUCAUAAACUCAGCAGAAUCUCACAUCAUAACCCCAAAUGACCUGUUACUCACCAUGUGGCCCAGCUGUCUUCAAACUCACCAGCCUCCUGCCUUAGCCUUCUAAAUGCUUGGAUUACAGGCAUGACCCACCAUAACUGGCUUUGUUUUAGUUUCAGAGAAGAUGAAACUGAUGUGCGUCAAAAAGUAAACUACCCACAUUUUAACUGGGCACAUUCCUGUCAAUCUGAUGAGAAUCUAUUUCAUACCCUGCUUUAGCUGGUAGUCUGUCAAGGAAAUGAGCUGAACAUGUCUGUGUACAGCUUUUGUGCCAUCCCUGGAUGAGCGAGCUGUCUGCCUCUAUGUUCUCCACAAAAUGGAAUAUAGCUGUACACCCAAGCCAAGUUAUGGAGGCUGGGAAGACCUAGAAUGUGGCAUCACUAUUUGGAAACCAUGCCGAUUACCGACCGAGCUCUCAAUGGAAAAAUGCAGUCGGCGUGAACCACGCACGAACACAGCAGAGAAAGAAGAAAACACACACCACGAGGAACCCUAAUAGGACAAUACAUUAUAAGCCUCAUGGUACAUCCACUUGGUGUGCUGGGAGAGUCAGGAUGAGGACCUGAGAAGAACAGCAGCUUGAACCUGACUUCAUUUAACAGCCCACUGCCCUCUUGCCAAGAACCCAUCACAGACCUUCCCAGAAGAGAGGGAUGAGCCUCACCUAUGAAUAAGUCCUCAGAAACUCAAAUUUGAUUCUAAUGGAUUGUUUUCUCAGAAAGACUGAGCAUGUCCCCCCACAUCUCUGUCAUUUCCCACAGUAGUAACCUCUGCAGAUGCCACAUAGAAAACAAAACAAAACAAAAAAACAUGAGGUUGGUGGGCAGAUAGGCAGGGUAUAAACAAACAGCCUUGUAACCCAGAAGCUGUGUGAUAUACAGUAAACUUCACAACACUGAAAAGAUGUCCUAUCUGUUAAAAUGGGGUAAUAACAACUACCCGAAUGUUUAGGAAUAGAACUUCAAUAAAUGAUACAUUUUAUAGUACAGCAGACCAUCCUGUAAAGGUUUCAUCCUUCACUGUGGUGAUAAAUAUCCCAAACCACAUUGAAAAGCAUUGCAUCUACAUUUAUCUACACUGUAACUGUACUGUAAAUCAUGGGGGAGGGGAGAAUCAUAAAAACACCACCUGUCACCGUGUCAUUAAAGCAAGUUGGAAGUGAUACUUACAGAAACACAGCAAGAGCACCCCCAGUCACACAGUUCAAUCUCUUAGCAAGCGUUUUCUUUCUAGCCCAGUGGUUCUCAGUUUGGAAUUUUUGGCACUGCCUAGAGAUAGUUUUGUUGUUAAAACUGAGAAAAGAGCCGGGCGUGGUGGCACACGCCUUUAAUCCCAGCACUCAGGAGGCAGAGGCAGG
rnacentral:lncRNA from 1 species